AUUGCACGCUGGCGGCAGGCCUAACACAUGCAAGUCGAACGAGUGGCGGACGGGUGAGUAAUGUAUGGGAAACUGCCCGAUGGAGGGGGAUCACUACUGGAAAAGGUUGCUAAUACCGCAUACCAUCGGAUGUGCCCAUAUGGGAUUAGCUAGUAGGUGGGGUAACGGCUCACCUAGGCGACGAUCCCUAGCUGGUCUGAGAGGAUGACCAGCCACACUGGAACUGAGACACGGUCCAGACUCCUACGGGAGGCAGCAGUGGGGAAUAUUGCACAAUGGGCGCAAGCCUGAUGCAGCCAUGCCGCGUGUAUGAAGAAGGCCUUAGGGUUGUAAAGUACUUUCAGCGUGGAGGCGUUACUCGCAGAAGAAGCACCGGCUAACUCCGUGCCAGCAGCCGCGGUAAUUC
rnacentral:rRNA from 1 species